rnacentral:rRNA from 1 species
GACGAACGCUGGCGGCGUGCUUAACACAUGCAAGUCGAACGGAAAGGCCCUGCUUUUGUGGGGUGCUCGAGUGGCGAACGGGUGAGUAACACGUGAGUAACCUGCCCUUGACUUUGGGAUAACUUCAGGAAACUGGGGCUAAUACCGGAUAGGAGCUCCUGCUGCAUGGUGGGGGUUGGAAAGUUUCGGCGGUUGGGGAUGGACUCGCGGCUUAUCAGCUUGUUGGUGAGGUAGUGGCUUACCAAGGCUUUGACGGGUAGCCGGCCUGAGAGGGUGACCGGCCACAUUGGGACUGAGAUACGGCCCAGACUCCUACGGGAGGCAGCAGUGGGGAAUAUUGCACAAUGGGCGGAAGCCUGAUGCAGCAACGCCGCGUGCGGGAUGACGGCCUUCGGGUUGUAAACCGCUUUCGCCUGUGACGAAGCGUGAGUGACGGUAAUGGGUAAAGAAGCACCGGCUAACUACGCG